GACGAACGCUGGCGGCGUGCUUAACACAUGCAAGUCGAACGGAAAGGCCCUGCUUUUGUGGGGUGCUCGAGUGGCGAACGGGUGAGUAACACGUGAGUAACCUGCCCUUUACUUUGGGAUAACUUCAGGAAACUGGGGCUAAUACCGGAUAGGAUCUCCUGCUGCAUGGUGGGGGUUGGAAAGUUUCGGCGGUUGGGGAUGGACGCGCGGCUUAUCAGCUUGUUGGUGGGGUAGUGGCUUACCAAGGCUUUGACGGGUAGCCGGCCUGAGAGGGUGACCGGCCACAUUGGGACUGAGAUACGGCCCAGACUCCUACGGGAGGCAGCAGUGGGGAAUAUUGCACAAUGGGCGGAAGCCUGAUGCAGCAACGCCGCGUGCGGGAUGACGGCCUUCGGGUUGUAAACCGCUUUCGCCUGUAACGAAGCGUGAGUGACGGUAAUGGGUAAAGAAGCACCGGCUAACUACGUG
rnacentral:rRNA from 1 species